GACGAACGCUGGCGGCGUGCUUAACACAUGCAAGUCGAACGGAAAGGCCCUGCUUUUGUGGGGUGCUCGAGUGGCGAACGGGUGAGUAACACGUGAGUAACCUGCCCUUUACUUUGGGAUAACUUCAGGAAACUGGGGCUAAUACCGGAUAGGAGCUCCUGCUGCAUGGUGGUGGUUGGAAAGGUUCGGCGGUUGGGGAUGGACUCGCGGCUUAUCAGCUUGUUGGUGGGGUAGUGGCUUACCAAGGCUUUGACGGGUAGCCGGCCUGGGAGGGUGACCGGCCACAUUGGGACUGAGAUACGGCCCAGACUCCUACGGGAGGCAGCAGUGGGGAAUAUUGCAAAAUGGGCGGAAGCCUGAUGCAGCAACGCCGCGUGCGGGAUGACGGCCUUCGGGUUGUAAACCGCUUGCGCCUGGGACGAAGCGUGAGUGACGGUAAUGGGUAAAGAAGCACCGGCUAACUACGUG
rnacentral:rRNA from 1 species